ACGGAAGGCAGCAGUGAGGAAUAUUGGUCAAUGGGCGGAAGCCUGAACCAGCCAAGUCGCGUGAAGGAUGAAGGUAUUAUGUAUUGUAAACUUCUUUAGCAGUGGAGUAAUAAGGGGAUCGUGAUCCCUGAUGCAGGUACACUGAAAAUAAGGAUCGGCUAACUCCGUGCCAGCAGCCGCGGUAAUACGGAGGAUCCGAGCGUUAUCCGGAUUUAUUGGGUUUAAAGGGUGCGCAGGCGGCCCUGUAAGUCAGCGGUUAAAUCGUGGAGCUCAACUCCAUCCCGCCGUUGAUACUGCAGGGCUUGAUUGCGGUCGAGGUUGGCGGAAUUCGUCGUGUAGCGGUGAAAUGCAUAGAUAUGACGAAGAACACCGAUUGCGUAGGCAGCUGACCAGGCCGUAAAUGACGCUCAUGCACGAAAGUGCGGGGAUCGAACAGGAUUAGAUACCCUGGUA
rnacentral:rRNA from 1 species